UAGGGAAAAAUGGGGAGCUAGAUGAGUCUGGCUGAGAGGGUAUUCCGAUCAUAAUACCGACCCACAACCUGAUCUGGGUAAUGCCAGCGGAGGGAGAUAUUUGUUAUUCUUAC
rnacentral:ncRNA from 1 species